rnacentral:rRNA from 1 species
UACGUAGGUGGCAAGCGUUAUCCGGAUUUACUGGGUGUAAAGGGCGUGUAGGCGGGACUGCAAGUCAGAUGUGAAACCCAUGGGCUCAACCCAUGGCCUGCAUUUGAAACUGUAGUUCUUGAGUGAUGGAGAGGCAGGCGGAAUUCCGUGUGUAGCGGUGAAAUGCGUAGAUAUACGGAGGAACACCAGUGGCGAAGGCGGCCUGCUGGACAUUAACUGACGCUGAGGCGCGAAAGCGUGGAGAGCAAACAGG